rnacentral:rRNA from 1 species
UACGGAGGGUGCAAGCGUUGUCCGGAUUUAUUGGGUUUAAAGGGUGCGUAGGCGGAUAGGUAAGUCCGUGGUGAAAUCCUGCAGCUUAACUGCAGAACUGCCAUGGAUACUAUCUAUCUUGAAUGUCGUGGAGGUUAGCGGAAUAUGUCAUGUAGCGGUGAAAUGCUUAGAUAUGACAUAGAACACCCAUUGCGAAGGCAGCUAACUACGCGAUAAUUGACGCUGAUGCACGAAAGCGUGGGGAUCAAACAGG